rfam:Gossypium arboreum cultivar AKA8401 contig_48086_1, whole genome shotgun sequence.
AAUAGGAGAAUGACAAAUCAGAUUUUUCUUCCUAAUUUUUAACCUUUUUUCCUGAAAAAAAUUUAAAUCGAACUAAAAAUGCUAAAAAUCAAGAGGAAAAAUCUGAUAUUUGUCAUUUUCCUAUU